AACUAUAACGGUCCUAAGGUAGCGAAAUUCCUUGUCAGGUAAGUUCUGACCCGCAUGAAAGGCGUAAUGAUCUGGGCACUGUCUCAACAGCCCGCCCGGCGAAAUUGUAGUACCGGUGAAGAUGCCGGUUACCCGCGACAAGACGGAAAGACCCCAUGGAGCUUUACUGUAGCCUAAUAUUGGGUUUCGGUGUUGCAUGCACAGGAUAGAUGGGACGCUAGGAAGUGAGUGCUUUGGCAUUCAUGGAGCGGCCGUUGGGAUACCAUCCUUGCGACAUUGGAAUUCUAACCUGCGCCUUUGAAUCAAGGCGGGGGACAUUGUUAGGUGGGCAGUUUGACUGGGGCGGUCGCCUCCUAAAGAGUAGCGGAGGCGUUCAAAGGUUGGCUCGUCCUGGACGGAAACCAGGAGAGAGAGUGCAAACGCAAAAGCCAGCCUGACUGCGAGACUGACGGGUCGAGCAGAGACGAAAGUCGGAGUUAGUGAUCCGGUGGUAUGUGAGUGGAAAUGCCAUCGCUCAACGGAUAAAAGUUACCCUGGGGAUAACAGGCUGAUCUCCCCCAAGAGUCCACAUCGACGGGGAGGUUUGGCACCUCGAUGUCGGCUCAUCGCAUCCUGGGGCUGUAUUCGGUCCCAAGGGUUUGGCUGUUCGCCAAUUAAAGCGGUACGCGAGCUGGGUUCAGAACGUCGUGAGACAGUUCGGUCCCUAUCUGUCGUGGGCGCAGGAUAUUUGAAAGGCGCUGUCCCUAGUACGAGAGGACCGGGAUGGACGAACCUCUGGUGCACCAGUUGUCACGCCAGUGGCACAGCUGGGCAGCUAUGUUCGGAUCGGAUAAACGCUGAAAGCAUCUAAGCGUGAAGCCGGCCUUAAGAUAAGAUAUCCCACUGAGAUAAUCAGGUAAGACCCCUUGAAGACUACAAGGUUGAUAGGCACAAUGUGUAAGUGGCGUGAGUCAUUGAGCAAGCGUGUACUAAUAGGUCGAGGGCUUGACCC
rnacentral:rRNA from 1 species